rnacentral:rRNA from 1 species
CGCACGGGUGAGUAACACGUAUCUAACCUGCCGUCUACUCUUGGACAGCCUUCUGAAAGGAAGAUUAAUACAAGAUGGCAUCAUGAGUCCGCAUGUUCACAUGAUUAAAGGUAUUCCGGUAGACGAUGGGGAUGCGUUCCAUUAGAUAGUAGGCGGGGUAACGGCCCACCUAGUCUUCGAUGGAUAGGGGUUCUGAGAGGAAGGUCCCCCACAUUGGAACUGAGGCACGGUCCAA